AUUGAACGCUGGCGGCAUGCUUUACACAUGCAAGUCGAACGGCAGCGCGGGCUUCGGCCUGGCGGCGAGUGGCGAACGGGUGAGUAAUACAUCGGAACGUGCCCAGUAGUGGGGGAUAGCUCGGCGAAAGCCGGAUUAAUACCGCAUACGACCUGAGGGUGAAAGCGGGGGAUCUUCGGACCUCGCGCUAUUGGAGCGGCCGAUGGCAGAUUAGCUAGUUGGUGGGGUAAAGGCCUACCAAGGCGACGAUCUGUAGCUGGUCUGAGAGGACGACCAGCCACACUGGGACUGAGACACGGCCCAGACUCCUACUGGAGGCAGCAGUGGGGAAUUUUGGACAAUGGGCGAAAGCCUGAUCCAGCAAUGCCGCGUGUGUGAUGAAGGCCUUCGGGUUGUAAAGCACUUUUGGCGGGAACGAAAAGGACUGUGCCAAUACCACGGUUCGAUGACGGUACCCGCAGAAUAAGCACCGGCUAACUACGUG
rnacentral:rRNA from 1 species